UAACCUGCCCAAGAGAUCGGGAUAACACCUGGAAACAGAUGCUAAUACCGGAUAACAACAGAUGAUGCCUAUCAACUGUUUAAAAGAUGGUUCUGCUAUCACUCUUGGAUGGACCUGCGGUGCAUUAGCUAGUUGGUAGGGUAACGGCCUACCAAGGCGAUGAUGCAUAGCCGAGUUGAGAGACUGAUAGGCCACAUUGGGACUGAGACACGGCCCAAACUCCUACGGGAGGCAGCAGAG
rnacentral:rRNA from 1 species